rnacentral:rRNA from 1 species
UGAAUACGAGACGCUAAGGCGUCGAAGUAGUGUAUGUCAUACUUCCAAGAAAAGCAUGCACUGUCAUAGAUAAAAAACGCCUGUACCAUAACCGACACAGGUGGGUAGGUAGAGUAUACUAAGGGGCGCGAGAUAACUCUCUCUAAGGAACUCGGCAAAAUAACUCCGUAACUUCGGGAGAAGGAGUGCCUUAUUCGUAAGGUUGCAAUAACAAGAUCCAAGCAACUGUUUAUCAAAAACACAGGUCUCCGCUAAGUCGUAAGACGAUGUAUGGGGGCUGACGCCUGCCCAGUGCCAGAAGGUUAAAGAAGUUGGUUAGCAAUUGCGAAGCUGAUAACUGAAGCCCUGGUGAACGGCGGCCGUAACGAUAACGAUCCUAAGGUAGCGAAAUUCCUUGUCGGGUAAGUUCCGACCCGCACGAAAGGCGUAAUGAUUUGGAUACUGUCUCGGAGAGGGGCUCGGUGAAAUAGACUUGUCUGUGAAGAUGCGGACUACCUGCACCAGGACAGAAAGACCCUAUGAAGCUUUACUGUAACUUGAAAUUGAAAUUGGACUUUAUUCGCGCAGUAUAGGUGGGAGGCGUUGAUUAUAAUCUUGUGGGAUUAUUGGGGCCAUCAGUGAGAUACCACUCUUGUAAUGUUAGAUUUCUAACUUUGAAUCAUUAUCUGGUCAAAGAACAGUUUCAGGCGGGCAGUUUGACUGGGGCGGUCGCCUCCUAAACGGUAACGGAGGCGUACAAAGGUUUCCUCUGAACGGUUAGAAAUCGUAUCUAGAGUGUAAAGGCAUAAGGAAGCUUGACUGUGAGACCUACAAGUCGAGCAGGGACGAAAGUCGGUCUUAGUGAUCUGACGGUACUGAGUGGAAAGGCCGUCACUCAACGGAUAAAAGUUACUCUAGGAUAACAGGCUGAUCUCCCCCAAGAGUUCACAUCGACGGGGAGGUUUGGCACCUCGAUGUCGGCUCAUCGCAUCCUGGGGCGGUAGUACGUCCCAAGGGUUGGGCUGUUCGCCCAUGAAAGCGGUACGCGAGCUGGGUUCAGAACGUCGUGAGACAGUUCGGUCCAUAUCCGGUGUAGGCGUUAGAAUAUUGAGAGGAGCCUUCUUUAGUACGAGAGGACCGAGAAGGACAUACCUCUGGUGUACCAGUUAUCGUGCCAACGGUAAACGCUGGGUAGCUAUGUAUGGAGUGGAUAACCGCUGAAAGCAUCUAAGUGGGAAGCCCACCUCAAGAUAAGUAUUCUCC